rnacentral:rRNA from 1 species
CCUACGGGUGGCAGCAGUGGGGACUUUUGGACCAUGGGGGCAACCCUGAUCCAGCCAUGCCGCGUGAGUGAAGAAGGCCUUCGGGUUGUAAAGCUCUUUCGGCCGGGAAGAAAUCGCUCAAGCUAAUACCGUGGGUGGAUGACGGUACAGGAAGAAGAAGCACCGGCUAACUACGUGCCAGCAGCCGCGGUAAUACGUAGGGAGCGAGCGUUCGUCGGGAUUACGCGGGGUAAAGCGUAAGACAGAUGCGAAAUCCCCGGGCUUAACCUGGGAACUGCGUUUGUGACUGUGGUGCUCGAGUGCGGCAGAGGGGGGUGGAAUUCCACGUGUAGCAGUGAAAUGCGUAGAGAUGUGGAGGAACACCGAUGGCGAAGGCAGCCCCCUGGGUCGACACUGACGCUCAUGCACGAAAGCGUGGGGAGCAAACAGGAUUAGAUACCCUGGUAGUC